GGGCUGCUCCCGCUUCUGUUUGGUAGAGCACGGGAUUCUCAAUCUCAUGGGUCGUGGGUUCGAGCCCCACGCUGGGCA